GGUUGAUCCUGCCAGUAGUCAUAUGCUUGUCUCAAAGAUUAAGCCAUGCAUGUCUAAGUAUAAACAAGUUUGUACUGUGAAACUGCGAAUGGCUCAUUAAAUCAGUUAUAGUUUAUUUGAUGGUGUCUUGCUACAUGGAUAACUGUGGUAAUUCUAGAGCUAAUACAUGCGCCAAAGCCCCGACUUCUGGAAGGGGUGUAUUUAUUAGAUAAAAAACCAACGCGGCUCGCCGCUUACUUGGUGAUUCAUAAUAACUUGUCGAAUCGCAUGGCCUUGUGCCGGCGAUGCUUCAU
rnacentral:rRNA from 1 species